GCUUCCGUAGCCCAACUGGUAGAGGCCCGGCGUUCAGAGCGUCGGAAGUGCGGGUUCGAAUCCCGCCGGGAGCA
rnacentral:tRNA from 1 species